AGCCUUAUGAGGCCCCAAAGAGGACUUUUUCUGUGAUAUCUACUGAAAUAAAAGAUCCAACUGAAUCUAAACGCCUUAACGUGCCUGUUUAAGGAGGAAGGCGACUCAGCUAUGAGAAGAAAAUAACAGUUCUUUAUGAAAUUCUGUCAGCCUGUGUGGCAAACAGUAGUGUAAGUGGUGGUAAAGUAAGGAAUGGCUAUGUUGCUCGUCACCACGUUGCACUGAGGUUGCUGGAAACUUGGCUUGGGGUGGAAUGGCUGAAAGUGGAAGUUAUGGAGACGAUCGUUGCUUGUUCUUUCUUGGUUUCCUUAAAAGAGAGUGCUAAAUGCACAGAGACAGAAGAUGUUGAUGGAGAGAAAAAUGAAAAUGAUAAUACCUCAUGGGAAAAUUGGAAGCGUGGAGGUCUAAUUGGUGCAGCUGCUUUAACAGGAGGAACUUUAAUGAGUAUCAUUGGUGGUGUAGGUGCUCCUGCAAUUGCUCGGGAUUGAGUGCUCUCGCUCCUAUAUUGGGUGGCAUUAUUCCUGCACUAGGAGCAACUGGUUUUGCUGCUGCAGCAACUGCCACAGGGUCUGUUACUGGUUCUCUUGCUGUA